UCAAGCAACUAAGCGCAUACGGUGGAUGCCUUGGCAGUCAGAGGCGAUGAAAGACGUGGAAGCCUGCGAUAAGGUUCGGGGAGCUGGCAAACAAGCUGUGAUCCGGGCAUUUCUGAAUGGGGAAACCCACCGACUUUCGGGUCGGUAUCUUACACUGAAUCCAUAGGUGUAAGAGGCGAACCGGGGGAACUGAAACAUCUAAGUACCCCGAGGAAAAGAAAUCAACCGAGAUUCCCUAAGUAGCGGCGAGCGAACGGGGAUUAGCCCUUAAGCUAGACAACUGGUAGGAGAAGGCUCUGGAAAGUGCCGCCAUAGUGGGUGAUAGCCCCGUAUCCGAAACCUGAGUCUGGUGAAAUCGAGUAGGACGGGACACGUGAUAUCCUGUCUGAACAUGGGGGGACCAUCCUCCAAGGCUAAAUACUCCUGACUGACCGAUAGUGAACCAGUACCGUGAGGGAAAGGCGAAAAGAACCCCUGUGAGGGGAGUGAAAUAGAUCCUGAAACCGUAUGCGUACAAGCAGUCGGAGCGGACUUGUUCCGUGACGGCGUACCUUUUGUAUAAUGGGUCAGCGACUUAUGUUCAGUGGCGAGGUUAACCGUUUAGGGGAGCCGUAGGGAAACCGAGUCUGAAUAGGGCGAUUUAGUCGCUGGGCAUAGACCCGAAACCGGGCGAUCUAUCCAUGAGCAGGUUGAAGGUGCCGUAACAGGCACUGGAGGACCGAACCCACUGUCGUUGAAAAGCCAGGGGAUGACUUGUGGAUCGGAGUGAAAGGCUAAUCAAGCCCGGAGAUAGCUGGUUCUCCUCGAAAGCUAUUUAGGUAGCGCCUCGGACGAAUACCACAGGGGGUAGAGCACUGUUUCGGCUAGGGGGUCAUCCCGACUUACCAACCCGAUGCAAACUCCGAAUACCUGUGAGUACUAUCCGGGAGACACACGGCGGGUGCUAACGUCCGUCGUGAAGAGGGAAACAACCCAGACCGCCAGCUAAGGUCCCCAAGUACCAGUUAAGUGGGAAACGAUGUGGGAAGGCUCAGACAGCUAGGAGGUUGGCUUAGAAGCAGCCAUCCUUUAAAGAUAGCGUAACAGCUCACUGGUCUAAAUAAGUUAUCCUGCGGCGAAGAUGUAACGGGGCUCAAGCCAUGAGCCGAAGCUUAGGAUGCCGUAAGGCAUGGUAGCAGAGCGUAGUGUG
rnacentral:rRNA from 1 species